UAGGGAAUCUUCCGCAAUGGGCGAAAGCCUGACGGAGCAACGCCGCGUGAGUGAUGAAGGUCUUCGGAUCGUAAAACUCUGUUAUUAGGGAAGAACAAAUGUGUAAGUAACUAUGCACGUCUUGACGGUACCUAAUCAGAAAGCCACGGCUAACUACGUGCCAGCAGCCGCGGUAAUACGUAGGUGGCAAGCGUUAUCCGGAAUUAUUGGGCGUAAAGCGCGCGUAGGCGGUUUUUUAAGUCUGAUGUGAAAGCCCACGGCUCAACCGUGGAGGGUCAUUGGAAACUGGAAAACUUGAGUGCAGAAGAGGAAAGUGGAAUUCCAUGUGUAGCGGUGAAAUGCGCAGAGAUAUGGGGGAACACCAGUGGCGAAGGCGACUUUCUGGUCUGUAACUGACGCUGAUGGGCGAAAGCGUGGGGAUCAAACAGG
rnacentral:rRNA from 1 species